rnacentral:rRNA from 1 species
UACGGGGGGGAGCAAGCGUUGUUCGGAUUUACUGGGCGUAAAGGGCGCGUAGGCGGUCGUGACAAGUCACUUGUGAAAUCUCCGGGCUUAACUCGGAACGGUCAAGUGAUACUGUCGUGCUAGAGUCCGGAAGAGGAGAGUGGAAUUCCCGGUGUAGCGGUGAAAUGCGCAGAUAUCGGGAAGAACACCCGUGGCGAAGGCGGCUCUCUGGGACGGUACUGACGCUGAGACGCGAAAGCGUGGGGAGCAAACAGG